UACGAAGGGAGCUAGCGUUACUCGGAAUUACUGGGCGUAAAGCGCGUGUAGGCGGUGCUGCAAGUCAGGGGUGAAAUCCCAGAGCUUAACUCUGGAAUUGCCUUUGAAACUGCGGUGCUUGAAUCAGGCAGAGGGUAGUGGAAUUCCACGUGUAGGAGUGAAAUCCGUAGAUAUGUGGGGGAACACCAGUGGCGAAGGCGGCUACCUGGGCCUCGAUUGACGCUGAGAUGAGAAAGCGUGGGGAGCAAACAGG
rnacentral:rRNA from 1 species